GGGCGGAUGUGCAAUCUUCACCUGUUUAUUCGGUAGAGGGUGCCAUCUUCAGGUAGCCCUUCACGUUGUACAGAAAACAAUGGAGACUUCUCCUCCUGGGGCAGAUGUUGCACGUGAGGCAAGUAAGGCACUGGUCUCAUAUAUGCAACUGGUGACCAGACAUCUCCAGCAGAAUGACCCAUGGCCCAUGGGCACCUCAAACUCAACAUGUCAGAAAGUGAAUUCUGUCAGGUGUGGUGGCUCACAUCUGUAAUCCCAGCACUUUGGGAGACCAAGGCGGGCAGAUCACUUGAGGUCAAGAAUUCAAGACCAGCCUGGCCAACAUGGUGAAACCCCAUCUCUACUAAAAAUACAAAAGUUAGCUGAGCGUGGUGGGGCGUGCCUUUAAUCCCAGCUACUUGGGAAGCCGAGGCAGGAGAAUCACUUGAACCCAGGAGGCAGAGGUUGCAGUGAGAUGAGAUCACUCCACUGCACUCCAGCCUGGGUGACAGAGCAAGACUCUGUUUCAAAAAAAAAAAAAAAAAAAAAG
ensembl:lncRNA GTF3C2-AS1 GTF3C2 antisense RNA 1